GUGCUCGCUUCGGCAGCACAUAUACUAAAAUUGGAACGAUACAGAGCCUGUCUCUUAUACACAUCUAGAUGUGUAUAAGAGACAGGGGCAAGGGUGACACGCAAAUUCGUGAAGCGUUCCAUAUUUUU
rnacentral:snRNA from 1 species